AAACUUUGUAAAUCAGGAAAACAGUCUUUAAAUUUUGCAGGUUUCAUUGGAAUCUUAGCAACUAUAGUUUUAAUGUUUUUAUUAUAUCACUAACAUAUUAACAAAAGCAUUGACAUUGCAAAUUAAAAAAAAAUGAAAAACUUAUAUAUACCCUUCGAACAAAGGAGAACAUCAUGUGCAUAAAUUGUAUUCACGCAUACAAAAAUUUCCUCCUCUGGUCAACAAACCUAGUUUCUAAAUUCGUUUCUAAAAUCUCACUCUCGGAUUCCGUUUUUAUUUAAAUUCGUUGUAAAUUUAAAAACUAACUUAUCCGGCUUACAGUCGAUUUCAAGCCGCCGCCAACGUAGUUAGUGUCAGUCGCUACAGCCGUUAAUACUUGUCGGCGCAGAGCUCUGGUACUCGCAUUACGUCUUUUGCAGAAGUUUACGUCUGAGCUGAAGUUUAAUUUUGCGUGUGAAGAAAAACAAUAUUUCUUUCGGAGAA